rnacentral:rRNA from 1 species
GUACGUGAAGCGAGGAAAGCUGGAAA